rnacentral:rRNA from 1 species
AUUAGAUACCCUGGUAGUCCACGCCGUAAACGGUGGGUGCUAGUUGUGGGCCACAUUCCACGUGGUCCGUGACGAAGUUAACACAUUAAGCACCCCGCCUGGGGAGUACGGUCGCAAGACUAAAACUCAAAGGAAUUGACGGGGGCCCGCACAAGCGGCGGAGCAUGCGGAUUAAUUCGAUGCAACGCGAAGAACCUUACCAAGGCUUGACAUAUAGAGGAAACGUGCAGAAAUGUACGCCCCGCAAGGUCUCUAUACAGGUGGUGCAUGGUUGUCGUCAGCUCGUGUCGUGAGAUGUUGGGUUAAGUCCCGCAACGAGCGCAACCCUCGUCCUAUGUUGCCAGCACGUAAUGGUGGGAACUCAUGGGAGACUGCCGGGGUCAACUCGGAGGAAGGUGGGGAUGACGUCAAAUCAUCAUGCCCCUUAUGUCUUGGGCUUCACGCAUGCUACAAUGGCCAGUACAAAGGGCUGCAAUACCGUAAGGUGGAGCGAAUCCCAAAAAGCUGGUCUCAGUUCGGAUUGAGGUCUGCAACUCGACCUCAUGAAGUCGGAGUCGCUAGUAAUCGCAGAUCAGCAACGCUGCGGUGAAUACGUUCCCGGGCCUUGUACACACCGCCCGUCAAGUCACGAAAGUCGGUAACACCCGAAGCCGGUGGCCUAACCGUAAGGAAGGAGCCGUCGAAGGUGGGAUUGGUGAUUGGGACUAAGUCGUAACAAGGUAAC